rnacentral:rRNA from 1 species
CUACGGGCCGCUGCAGUCGAGAAUCUUCCGCAAUGGGCGAAAGCCUGACGGAGCGACGCCGCGUGGUUGAUGAGGUCUUUCGGGACGUAAAAAUCUUUUAUGAUUAAGAAAGUUUAUUGAUCUAAUCAUGAAUAAGGGGCUGCAAACUCUGUGCCAGCAGCAGCGGUAAUACAGAGGCCCCAAGCGUUGUCCGGAAUCACUGGGCGUAAAGGGUGUGUAGGUGGUCUGAUUAGUCUCUCGUUAAAGCUCCCGACUCAAUUGGGAAAAUGCGAGAGAAACGGCCAGACUAGAGGAUGCGAGAGGUAAAUGGAACUCAUGGAGUAGGGGUGAAAUCCGUUGAUAUCAUGGGGAACACCAAAAGCGAAGGCAAUUUACUGGCGCAUUCCUGACACUGAGACACGAAAGCGUAGGUAGCGAAUGGGAUUAGAUACCCGAGUAGUC